CUAGGGGGGCGGGCCCCUGGGGGCGGGGUCUCGGUUGGCGCGAGUGUCCUGUCGCCGCCGCCCCGGGCGGGUGGGCUGACUGGCGGCAGGCUCGCCGCGGCGCGGAGUCCCGGCUGCGGGAUAGACCGAGGGCCAUGGCCGCCUCUCCCGGACCCGCCGGCGUUGGCGGCGCCGGAGCAGUCUACGGCUCCGGCUCUUCGGGCUUCGCCCUCGACUCGGGACUGGAGAUCAAAACUCGCUCGGUGGAGCAGACGCUACUCCCGCUGGUUUCUCAGAUCACCACACUUAUUAAUCAUAAAGAUAAUACCAAAAAGUCUGAUAAAACUCUGCAAGCAAUUCAGCGUGUAGGACAAGCUGUCAACUUGGCAGUUGGAAGAUUUGUUAAAGUAGGAGAAGCUAUAGCCAAUGAAAACUGGGAUUUGAAAGAAGAAAUAAAUAUUGCUUGUAUUGAAGCUAAACAAGCAGGAGAAACAAUUGCAGCACUUACAGACAUAACCAACUUGAACCAUCUGGAAUCUGAUGGGCAGAUCACAAUUUUUACAGACAAAACAGGAGUGAUAAAGGCUGCAAGAUUACUUCUUUCUUCAGUGACAAAGGUGUUGUUGCUGGCAGACCGAGUAGUCAUUAAACAGAUAAUAACAUCAAGAAAUAAGGUUCUCGCAACUAUGGAAAGACUAGAGAAAGUGAAUAGCUUUCAAGAGUUUGUCCAAAUAUUCAGUCAAUUUGGAAAUGAAAUGGUGGAGUUUGCACAUCUGAGUGGAGAUAGACAAAAUGAUUUGAAAGAUGAAAAGAAAAAGGCAAAAAUGGCAGCAGCUAGGGCAGUUCUUGAAAAGUGUACGAUGAUGCUUCUCACAGCUUCAAAGACAUGUCUGAGGCAUCCUAACUGCGAAUCAGCCCAUAAAAACAAAGAAGGAGUAUUUGACCGUAUGAAAGUGGCAUUGGAUAAGGUCAUUGAAAUUGUGACUGACUGUAAACCGAAUGGAGAGACUGACAUUUCAUCUAUCAGUAUUUUUACUGGAAUUAAGGAAUUCAAGAUGAAUAUUGAAGCUCUUCGGGAGAAUCUUUAUUUUCAGUCCAAAGAGAACCUUUCUGUGACAUUGGAAGUCAUCUUGGAGCGUACGGAGGACUUUACUGAUUCUGCCUACACCAGCCAUGAGCACAGAGAACGCAUCUUGGAACUGUCAACUCAGGCAAGAAUGGAACUGCAGCAGUUAAUUUCUGUGUGGAUUCAAGCUCAAAGCAAGAAAACAAAAAGCAUCGCUGAAGAACUGGAACUCAGUAUUUUGAAAAUCAGUCACAGUCUUAAUGAACUUAAGAAAGAACUUCAUAGUACAGCGACACAGCUGGCAGCAGAUCUAUUAAAAUACCAUGCUGAUCAUGUGGUUCUAAAAGCAUUAAAACUUACUGGAGUAGAAGGAAAUUUAGAAGCUUUGGCUGAAUAUGCCUGUAAACUCUCUGAACAGAAAGAGCAGCUUGUUGAGACCUGUCGAUUGUUACGACACAUAUCUGGGACAGAACCUCUGGAAAUAACAUGUAUACAUGCAGAGGAGACGUUUCAGGUGACUGGCCAACAGAUAAUUUCUGCUGCUGAAACACUGACAUUGCAUCCAUCUAGUAAAAUUGCUAAAGAAAACCUAGAUGUGUUUUGUGAAGCUUGGGAAUCCCAAAUUAGUGACAUGUCAACACUGCUGAGAGAAAUCAAUGAUGUGUUUGAAGGAAGACGAGGAGAGAAGUAUGGCUACCUUUCACUUCCAAAGCCAAUGAAGAAUAAUGCAAACCUGAAAUCAUUAAAGCCAGACAAGCCUGACUCUGAGGAGCAAGCCAAGAUAGCAAAGCUUGGACUUAAGCUGGGUUUGCUCACCUCUGACGCUGACUGCGAAAUUGAGAAGUGGGAAGAUCAGGAGAAUGAGAUUGUUCAAUAUGGACGGAACAUGUCCAGUAUGGCCUAUUCUCUGUAUUUAUUUACUAGUGAUUGACUAGAUACAGAUGAAGAUUGAUUAGACACAGAUCAAAGAAUAGAGCUAUGAGGACUAUGUCAAUAGCGUGCCAAAUCUCUAGGAGAGGGGCCACUGAAAACUUCCCAGGAUUUAAUUCAUCAACUAGAGGUUUUUGCUGCAGAGGGUUUAAAGCUUACUGCCAGUGUUCAAGCUUUUUCAAAACAGCUGAAAGACGACGACAAGCUUAUGCUUCUCCUGGAAAUAAACAAGCUAAUUCCUCUAUGCCACCAGCUCCAGACAGUAACUAAGACUUCUUUGCAGAAUAAAGUAUUUCUAAAGGUUGACAAGUGUAUUACGAAGACAAGAUCCAUGAUGGCUCUCUUAGUCCAACUUCUUUCACUUUGUUAUAAACUGCUGAAGAAGCUUCAGAUGGAAAAUAACAGAUGGGUCUCAGUUACAAACAAGGACACUAUGGAUGGUAAAACUUGAGAAGCUUUUGGGGUCAGAUCUCUGGAACAUCAUGUGAUGAAGCUGACAUUUUUAAAAAUCAAAUGAUCCUUUAUCUUUUCAGAAAUUCAUCAAUUUUAUAAAGAAAACAAUAUUGAAAUUUUGCUCUAUUUUCUGAUCAUGAAACUGAUCGUAAAGCUUUUUGACAACUAAUAAAUGUCUUGGUAAUUGCUAGA